ACGAAGCUGAAAAGUUUAACCCAGAGAAACGCCAUCUUCCUCUGCUGCUUGAAGUUGCCGUCUUGUGCUCUCCACAUGGUCCUCUCCCUAAUCCGGUUCUCGUCUCGGUGAAGCCCUGCAGGACCCUAUUCACUGCUGCAUCCGGAAACACUCCCUCAUUACUCGUGCCGGGAAAACUCCAAUUACUGUUUAUUUUCGCAGAGCGGGAGAAACCUGCGUAUGACCUGCGUAAUCGGGGGAAUGAUAUUCCACUGGUCUAUAGUGGGCUGCGUACAGAGAUUUUGGUUGGAUGCCUUUAAACUGAUGGGAAUUCGCUGGAGUGAUUUGGAGCCACCCCGGGAAUAAAAUCGCUGAAUGGAUUCCUUUCCGAGGCUGAGAUUCAUCCGUUCCAAGGUGUGCAGCCCUUGGUACCAUCGUGCGGUUUCCGAAGAAGCCCAGAUGACGAAGGUA